CUUGUUUUCAUUCUCCCUGCCUAUUGCAUGAAUUGAAUGGAUUAAGAUAAUGAAAUGGGAACUUCGGUUCUAGUCUUAAUUCAUAACUUGCUACCUCGGUAGCAGACGAUUGUAGUAAUAUUGGUCAGGCAAACCCUUUCUACUAUUAGUCUCUCCUUUCAUGAGACUCGAUAGUGGGAUACAACACAAACCUAUAUCACACCUUUUUUGCUAGUUGACUUUUAUAUGUUGUUUCUUUCGUACUUCAUUGUAUUGAAGAAUCACACGUUUAUUAUUUGAACGUUAAAAUUACAACUCUUAGCAAUGGAUAUCUUGGUUCUCGCAACGAUGAAGAACGCAGCGAAAUGCGAUACGUAAUGCGAAUUGCAGAAUUCAGUGAAUCAUCAAAUCUUUGAACGCAAAUUGCGCUCUUGGGUAGCCCUAGGAGCACGCCUCUCUCAGUAUCGGUUCAACAACCUCUCAGCAGCGUAUGUAAAAGUAUGUGUUAGCUGGAUAAUGAGAGUCUGACUUUCACGAGUCAGUCUCUUUAAAUACAUUGAGUGAGCAUCAUAUUCUCUAACGCGUGUUUCGGCACAAGCUAGUUUUUAACUGGUUGUUGGGAGUGACGUGAAUACUGACCCUUGUGGUCUUCAUUUACGUGUAACUCUUCAUAGCUAUUCAAAGUUGAAGAUUGGUGUUUUAGAAGAGAUACUCAUGUUAAGCGGUCGCAAGACUGCAAUCGGCUAUAGUAAAAUAUGGUCUGAAUUUUGAUCUGAGAUGAAGCGAGACAACCCCCUGAAUUUAAGCAUAUUAAUAA
rnacentral:rRNA from 1 species